CACUGGGUAACCUACCUAUAAGACUGGGACAACUUCGGGAAACCGGAGCUAAUACCGGAUAAGAUAUCGAACCGCAUGGUUCGAUAGUGAAAGANGGUUUUGCUAUCACUUAUAGAUGGACCCGCGCCGUAUUAGCUAGUUGGUGAGGUAACGGCUCACCAAGGCAACGAUACGUAGCCGACCUGAGAGGGUGAUCGGCCACACUGGAACUGAGACACGGUCCAGACUCCUACGGGAGGCAGCAGGG
rnacentral:rRNA from 1 species